UUGGAACCUUGAAAAGCUGCUGCUGAAA
rnacentral:piRNA from 1 species